UAGGGAAUUUUGCGCAAUGGACGAAAGUCUGACGCAGCAACACCGCGUGAGUGAUGAAGCAUCUUGGUGUGUAAAACUCUGUCAGAGGGGACGAAUUUUGACGGUACCCUCAAAGGAAGCAUCGGCUAACUACGUGCCAGCAGCCGCGGUAAGACGUAGGAUGCGAGCGUUGUCCGGAAUUAUUGGGCGUAAAGAGUUCGUAGGCGGUAUGCAAAGUCUGGUGUUAAAGCCCGGAGCUCAACUCCGGUUCGGCAUUGGAUACUUGCAAACUAGAAUGCAGAAGAGGCAAAGGGAAUUCCUAGUGUAGCGGUGAAAUGCGUAGAUAUGAGGAGGAACACCGGUGGCGUAAGCGCUUUGCUGGUCUGUUAUUGACGCUGAGGAACGAAAGCCGGGGGAGCAAAUG
rnacentral:rRNA from 1 species